rnacentral:rRNA from 1 species
UACAGGGGGUGCAAACGUUGCUCGGAAUUAUUGGGCGUAAAGCGCGCGUAGGCGGCCACUUAAGUCGGAUGUGAAAGCCCCUGGCUCAACUGGGGAAGUGCACCCGAAACUGAAUGGCUUGAAUACAAAAGAGGGCCGCGGAAUUCCCGGUGUAGAGGUGAAAUUCGUAGAUAUUGGGAAGAACACCGGUGGCGAAGGCGACCAUCUGGACGACAACUGACGCUGAGGCGCGAAAGCGUGGGGAGCAAACAGG